AAUUGCGGGUUACAAUCUCUAUUUCAAUCCUCUGAUUCUUCUCUCUAGAAUAAUAUUAAUUAUAUUUGUUUGACUUUGAAUUUCGGAGUCGGGUCGUUGACUUGAUCUUCUCCGGAUUUGAUUUUGGAUUUGAAUAACGUUUUCCAAGGGUCUUGCGACUUGAAUCUCGGAUCGAACGUUGAACUUUGAUUGAAUUUGACUUGAAGAUCUUGAAAUUCUUGAUGGAUUUGGCCCUUCAAUCUUCCAAUGAUCUUGACUUGAAUUGAUUAACGUUAAUCCGAAGGUUUGGCACCGUUAUCUCGGAUCGAACGCCGGAUUUGAUGAAGAACGCCUUGAAUUUGCUCAAGAACACAUUGAAUUUGACGAAGAACACUUUGAAUGUUGAGAGAGAAUCUUACCUCCUACGAAUUCUUCUUCCUUGCUUCUUGAAUUGUAGAGAGAAUUUUUUUGCUCCUACGGUUUCUGCUCC
rnacentral:lncRNA from 1 species